UCUUUUGUUUCCCUGCAGGGCGAGCCGGAGCCCGGGAUGCCGCAUGACCGGGGCCAGGCCGGCGAUGGGGGCUCCUGCCCGGGGGGCGCCGCAGGGACUGAGGCCCUGCCGGGACUGAGGCCCUGCCGGUGGGGAGCGGACACUGUGAAGGCAGAGACAGGAGGUUGAGCCUGAAGUGAAGGCUGCAGCUGGCAGUGAUGGUGUGGUGAGGGCAGUUGUCUGUUUUGCUCCACUAUGCUUGCACUCUAGCAAAUAAUGGACACUGUGAAGGCAGAGACAGGGCUGAGCCUCUGGGAGACCUGAAGUGAAGGCUGGCAGUGAUGGUGUGGUGAGGGCAGUUGUCUGUUUUGUUCCACUAUGCUUGCCCUCUGACAGGGGAGAAUGGUUGAGAUUUGUCAGAAGUUGUCCUGGGCCCUGCUGGGGUUUCGGUGUUCUGCUAAUGAAGACGGAUGCUUCUGCUCCUGUGCUGCUGCCUCGGAUCCUCGUCCAAGCCACAGUAUUCACAUCACCCUGUGACAGCUCUGGCCUUUCCUCAGAGCUGGCGGGAGUGAUGAAUUGGUGUCCUGCCAGCUUAGAUGGAGGGUGUUACAUUUUUUGUCCCCUGGGUACAAGGCAUGUAACUGGAAUGGAUUCUGGAACUUGCUGCAUGUUUAAUGCAGUUGGAUGCUUUGUCUGCAGGGGCUGCAUUCCCUGCCUGACAGCUCCUGUUAUCCUGGCCCCGCCAUUACAAGCAAGGAAGGCUCUCUCUGGAGCAGUGACAAGUACGGGAGGAGGGCCUUGGGUGUCAGGAGAGGAGUCAGGGCUUGGCUUUCCCCUGCCAUCCAGAAAGCUUUAGUGGUUCAUCUCUGGCAGCCUGUGAACUGAGGAGGGGGUGUCUGGGAUGCUGCAGCACAGUGUGGUUUUGUACUGUAUAGAGCCUGCUUAAUAAAAUCUGAAUACUGGGUGAACUUA